rnacentral:rRNA from 1 species
ACGAACGCUGGCGGCGUGCUUAACACAUGCAAGUCGAACGGUGAAGGGAUCAGCUUGCUGGUUCUGGAUGAGUGGCGAACGGGUGAGUAACACGUGAGUAACCUGCCCCCUUCUUCUGGAUAACCGCAUGAAAGUGUGGCUAAUACGGGAUAUUCUGCGCCUGCUGCAUGGUGGGUGUGGGAAAGAUAUUGUUUCGGUGGGGGAUGGGCUCGCGGCCUAUCAGCUUGUUGGUGGGGUGAUGGCCUACCAAGGCGGUGACGGGUAGCCGGCCUGAGGGGGUGAACGGUCACACUGGGACUGAGACACGGCCCAGACUCCUACGGGAGGCAGCAGUGGGGAAUAUUGCACAAUGGGCGCAAGCCUGAUGCAGCGACGCCGCGUGAGGGAUGGAGGCCUUCGGGUUGUGAACCUCUUUCGCCAGUGAAGCAGGCCUGUCCCUUGUGGGUGGGUUGACGGUAGCUGGAUAAGAAGCGCCGGCUAACUACGUG